GUAAACGAUGUCGAUUUGGAGGUUGUGCCCUUGAGGCGUGGCUUCCGGAGCUAACGCGUUAAAUCGACCGCCUGGGGAGUACGGCCGCAAGGUUAAAACUCAAAUGAAUUGACGGGGGCCCGCACAAGCGGUGGAGCAUGUGGUUUAAUUCGAUGCAACGCGAAGAACCUUACCUGGUCUUGACAUCCACAGAACUUUCCAGAGAUGGAUUGGUGCCUUCGGGAACUGUGAGACAGGUGCUGCAUGGCUGUCGUCAGCUCGUGUUGUGAAAUGUUGGGUUAAGUCCCGCAACGAGCGCAACCCUUAUCCUUUGUUGCCAGCGGUCCGGCCGGGAACUCAAAGGAGACUGCCAGUGAUAAACUGGAGGAAGGUGGGGAUGACGUCAAGUCAUCAUGGCCCUUACGACCAGGGCUACACACGUGCUACAAUGGCAUAUACAAAGAGAAGCGACCUCGCGAGAGCAAGCGGACCUCAUAAAGUAUGUCGUAGUCCGGAUUGGAGUCUGCAACUC
rnacentral:rRNA from 1 species